GCGAAGAAUUUCUUUGGAUUAAGUUUCAUAGAAGUUUGCCACUCACCUGUGUUCCUGAACUAUUAAACAUGAAUAUAUGGGCUUAGAAAUAGUUUCUCUUGAUAAAUAAACAAUUAACAAAUACUACAAAAAAAAAAGAAAAUUGGAACGAACCUUUAGAAUAAACAUUAAUAUUGUCAAGGAGAUGCACAGCUAUUGCAUCUAUGAACCAAGAGCAGGCAUAAAAAGGAACCAAGUUAGAGACCUUGACAAUGAAAAACAAUUUUUGAAAUAAAGCAAUAGAUGGGUUGAAUGACAAAGUAGAUAUUCUGAAUAGUGAAUUAGUAAGCUGGAAGAUUGGACAGAGAAUUUCUCCUAGAAAAGAGUAAGAAAGGAAAAUAGGUGGGAAUAUGAAAGGAAAUUUAGAAGACAUGGAGGGUGGAUCCAGAAGUGCUAGGAUCAAUCUAAUAGGAGUGCCAGGAGAAACAGGAGAAAAUGGAGGGGAGAUACGGCAAAUGAUCUUUAUUACUUCUGCAACUGCCAUUCUCUAACCCCUCUUCCUUGCUGGCCAGCCUGUCUUCCACUAUAGAGGCUGAAAAUGUCCACAAAUUGCUUUUCCAGCUACCCUUCCCACUGGGACAUGGAUGUAUGACCCAGUCCUGACCAAUGGGACCUGACAGGAAUUCUUCUAGAAAACAUCAAUGAAAGGUAUUUUUCCACGAUACCAAGAGAUGCACAAGGAAAGACUGCUUUCCUAUUUGGAUGGACUAUCCAGAGCUGCAGUGGCCUUCUUGCAACCAGAGGGGGACAGAAGCAAUGCUGAGAAUGACAGAUACUGAUCCCUUAUAUGUUUUAGACAUUGCAAAUACCUUCUUCCAUUCUGUUACCUAUUAACUUUGUUUAUGUGGUAUCUUUUGUGGGUAGAAAUAAUUUCGAUAUAAUCAAAUUCUUAUUUGUUUCCUGUAUGGUUUGUGCUUUUGAAGUGUUUUAAGUUCUUACCUGUCUCCAGAUCAUAAAGUUUAUCCUACAUUUUGUUCAGUUAACUUCAUAGUUUUUCUUUCACACUUAGUUCCUUAAUUUUUCAGGAGUUCACCCUUAUAGAUAAUGUUAGGUAGUAAUCCAGUUUUAUUUUCCUUCAUAUAGUGAACCAGUUUUUCCAAUUCACCUAAUAAACGAUCUCUUCUUUCCCCAUU